UGUAGUAUUGAGCAAGCCACAUGUGAGAGCUUUAAUUGUGCAUUAAUUAAUUGGAUGACUUAGUGGGCAAGUUGCAAGUGUGAGUAUUGAAGAAGCUACACUAGUAGCUUAGGGAGCAAGCUUAUGCUCUAAACAAAACCACUCUCUCUCUCUUCUCUCCCCUCAUUCACACGCCCCUCACCCCUCUCUCAUCUCUCUCUCUUUCUUCCUUAAUCCUCCAUUGUUAACCAUUCUCAAAGCUUCAAAAAUCAUAUCUCCACCAUAGAUCUUCACUAAAUCAAAUCAAAACUUCAUUUCCUUUGAAUCAAGAGCAAGAUUGAUGGAGUUUCAAGCUUGAAGUUAGAGAGAAGAAUUUUUAUUUCUUUCAAAAUCCUUGAAUACGAGCAGAGGACGGAGGUAAGAUCGUCCAAGUACUACGAGAGUAAGCUAAGUUUGUCACGAUAAGCGAGAAGGAGGAAGAUCGGUCUGGUGCUGGCGGGGACUUAUUUUGGAUGACAUUGUUCCUUUUACCGUAUUUAUAUUACAUACGGUAGCUUUUUGAUGUCGAUGUUUAUAUUUUGGACUUAGUCAAGAAGUAUACUCUCGGCUAUAUGUCUUCAUACAUAUAGUCUGUUCACGUUUUGCUGCGAGACUCUGUAAAUUAUGAACCUUUGUGAAUUUUUAACUAUGUCCACUUUGUAAACUUUGUCGAGAAUCCCUGUACUUUUGAACUUAUGAAGCCGAUAAUAUUUAUGUCUUUGAGAUGA